AUAACUAAGCGGAGGAAAAGAAACUAACCAGGAUUCCCCCAGUAACGGCGAGUGAAGCGGGAAGAGCUCACAUUUAAAAUCUGGCACUCGUGCCGAAUUGUAGUCUAAAGAGGUAGGACCCAGCAGACGAGGUGCUUCGAAGUCUCUUGGAAAAGAGCAUCAAGGAGGGUGACAAUCCCGUUGAACACCGCAAUCGUCUUGCGUGCGGUCCGCUUUCUAUGAGUCGAGUUGCUUGGGAUUGCAGCUCAAAGUGGGUGGUAAAUUCCAUCUAAAGCUAAAUACGCGUGGGAGACCGAUAGCGAACAAGUACCGUGAGGGAAAGAUGCAAAGAACUUUGAAAAGAGAGUGAAAGAGUGCCUGAAAUUGCUGAAAGGGAAGCGAAGGAUUAUCAGUGUCUGGCGGUUCCGCUUCUCCUGCGUUCCUCGGAACGCUGGAUCGCGUUUCCGUCGUGGUCAGUGCCGGCUAGCUUUGCGGGAGCCUGCGUCACGGGAGGUACGUCUCCUCGGAGAUGGAAUGCCGUGGCGUGUCGUCGCGAGGCUGGCCGGUCCUGACGAAAUGGUAUUCUUCAC
rnacentral:rRNA from 1 species